CCUACGGGAGGCAGCAGUGGGGAAUAUUGGACAAUGGGGGGAACCCUGAUCCAGCCAUGCCGCGUGUGUGAAGAAGGCCCUCGGGUUGUAAAGCACUUUCAGUGAGGAAGAACGCCUGGUGGUUAAUACCCAUCAGGAAAGACAUCACUCACAGAAGAAGCACCGGCUAACUCCGUGCCAACAGCCGCGGUAAUACGGAGGGUGCGAGCGUUAAUCGGAAUUACUGGGCGUAAAGCGCGCGUAGGUGGCUUGAUAAGCCGGUUGUGAAAGCCCCGGGCUCAACCUGGGAACGGCAUCCGGAACUGUCAAGCUAGAGUGCAGGAGAGGAAGGUAGAAUUCCCGGUGUAGCGGUGAAAUGCGUAGAGAUCGGGAGGAAUACCAGUGGCGAAGGCGGCCUUCUGGACUGACACUGACACUGAGGUGCGAAAGCGUGGGUAGCAAACAGGAUUAGAUACCCCGGUAGUC
rnacentral:rRNA from 1 species